rnacentral:rRNA from 2 species
AGGUGCGAUCAUACCAGCCCUAAUGCAUCGGAUCCCAUGAGAACUCCGCAGUUAAGCGUGCUUGGGCGAGAGUAGUACUAGGAUGGGUGACCUCCUGGGAAGUCCUCGUGUUGCAUUGU